UACAGAGGGUGCAAGCGUUGUUCGGAAUUAUUGGGCGUAAAGCGCGCGCAGGCGGUCCUUUAAGUCUGAUGUGAAAGCCCACGGCUCAACCGUGGAAGGUCAUUGGAAACUGGGGGACUUGAGUACAGAAGAGGAAAGUGGAAUUCCACGUGUAGCGGUGAAAUGCGUAGAGAUGUGGAGGAACACCAGUGGCGAAGGCGGCUUUCUGGUCUGUAACUGACGCUGAGGCGCGAAAGCGUGGGGAGCAAACAGG
rnacentral:rRNA from 1 species